AUACUUAACUGGCAUAGGGGUUACCGUGAUCAUUAUUUUAAAGCGGUUCCCCCAGGGUGAGGGUUGCACUUCGGUUAGGUUGAUCCCUGCGAUUAUCCCUCAUGUGGAUAACUCGUAUAUGCGAAAUUUUUUAUGUGAUAUUAGAUUUGUGUUCUUUUUCAUU